AUUGAACGCUUGCGGCAGGCCUAACACAUGUAAGUCGAGCGGAGCGGCGGACGGGUGAGUAAUGCCUAGGAAUCUGCCUGGUAGUGGGGGAUAACGUCCGGAAACGGGCGCUAAUACCGCAUACUAUCAGAUGAGCCUAGGUCGGAUUAGCUAGUUGUGGGGGGAAAGGCCUACAAAGGCGACGAUCCGUAACUGGUCUGAGUGGAUGACCAGUCAGACUGGAACUGAGACACGGUCCAGACUCCUACGGGAGGCAGUAGUGGGGAAUAGUGGACAAUGGGCGAAAGCCUGAUCCAGCCAUGCCGCGUGUGUGAAGAAGGUCUUCGGAUUGUAAAGCACUUUAAGUUGGGAGGCGUUACCAACAGAAUAAGCACCGGCUAACUUCGUGCCAGCAGCCGCGGUAAUUC
rnacentral:rRNA from 1 species